GACGAACGCUGGCGGCGUGCCUAACACAUGCAAGUCGAGCGAAUGAAGUUCCUUCGGGAAUGGAUUUAGCGGCGGACGGGUGAGUAACACGUGGGCAACCUGCCUCAUAGAGGGGAAUAGCCUCCCGAAAGGGAGAUUAAUACCGCAUAAGAUUGUAGUACCGCAUGAUACAGCAAUUAAAGGAGCAAUCCGCUAUGAGAUGGGCCCGCGGCGCAUUAGCUAGUUGGUGAGGUAAUGGCUCACCAAGGCGACGAUGCGUAGCCGACCUGAGAGGGUGAUCGGCCACAUUGGGACUGAGACACGGCCCAGACUCCUACGGGAGGCAGCAGUGGGGAAUAUUGCACAAUGGGGGAAACCCUGAUGCAGCAACGCCGCGUGAGUGGUGACGGCCUUCGGGUUGUAAAGCUCUGUCUUCAGGGACGAUAAUGACGGUACCUGAGGAGGAAGCCACGGCUAACUACGUG
rnacentral:rRNA from 1 species